GACGAACGCUGGCGGCGUGCUUAACACAUGCAAGUCGAACGGAAAGGCCCUGCGUUUGUGGGGUGCUCGUGUGGCGAACGGGUGAGUAACACGUGAGUAACCUGCCCUUGACUUUGGGGUAACUUCAGGAAACUGGGUCUAAUACCGGAUAGGAGCUCCUGCUGCAUGGUGUGGGUUGGAAAGAUUCGGCGGUUGGGGAUGGACUCGCGGCUUAUCAGCUUGUUGGUGGGGUAGUGGCGUACCAAGGCUUUGACGGGUAGCCGGCCUGGGAGGGUGACCGGCCACAUUGGGACUGAGAUACGGCGCAGACUCCUACGGGAGGCAGCAGUGGGGAAUAUUGCACAAUGGGCGGAAGCCUGAUGCAGCAACGCCGCGUGCGGGAUGACGGCCUUCGGGUUGUAAACCGCUUUCGCCUGUGACGAAGCGUGAGUGACGGUAAUGGGUAAAGAAGCACCGGCUAACUACGUG
rnacentral:rRNA from 1 species